rnacentral:tRNA from 1 species
UAGCUCAGUUGGAAGAGUGCUUGCCUCUCAUGCAAAGGCCCUGGGUUCAAUCCCCAG